UUUGUGAGGUUUCAUGUGGCCUAAUGAGGGUCAGUUUUAAAGGUUUAAUAUUACAGAAUUUAGCUUGGAAAAUGCGCAUAUCAGGCUAAGUAUUUAAGUUAAUUUUGCCCCAGCAUUUUGUGCUGCAUAAAUAUCUGCUCCUUCAUCGAAAAUGUACCGCUCUGAAAUGACUUGUAGCUACAUUUCCUGCCAAUUUAUCCUCAUAUUUCCGCUAUGCCUAUCAAGAGUUUAGCUACUGGCCUUCCUAGCCACUCGAAUCCAUUUUUUUUAGGUCAAGUUCGCACUGCUCAUCACUUUUAUUGGCUGCAAUUCGAAAAGCACUGAAACUGGUCCUGACAGACUCUCUCUUUCUCUCAAGUUAAUAAAGCAAUUUACAAUGCAGAUCCACAGCAUCGACCCCC
rnacentral:lncRNA from 1 species